rnacentral:rRNA from 1 species
GACAGAGGGUGCAAACGUUGUUCGGAAUUACUGGGCGUAAAGCGCGUGUAGGCGGCUCUGCAAGUCGGGUGUGAAAUCCCACGGCUCAACCAUGGAAGUGCACUCGAAACUGCAGGGCUAGAGUCCUGGAGAGGAAGGUGGAAUGCUUGGUGUAGAGGUGAAAUUCGUAGAUAUCAAGCGGAACACCGGUGGUGAAGGCGGCCUUCUGGACAGUGACUGACGCUGAGACGCGAAAGCGUGGGGAGCAAACAGG